AUUCUGCUAAGAGGCAUCAUGCCUGGCCGGAUGCUGCCACCUGACUUCAGUGCCACCUGCAGGUCCUCGGGGACGAAGAAGGACUCGUUGUACCAGAUGUCAAAUUCUGCACAAAGAUGGGUAGAUAGCACUAUCUCCUGAGUCAGCCACUGGUUGGAGCCUAGGAAUCUGCACUUGAUCAGUCCUCCCAGAUGAGUCCUUGGCUCACUCAAGUUUGAGGGUCCUGGGUGAACAGAGCAUGUGUGGGCAAUGUCUGUCAUUGGAGCAAGGGUGCCAGGGACUUCUGGAAAUUUAGUGCCUCCUUGGUCAUGUCAAUCUCCCGUUUGAUGGCAUUGAUGCGCUGUGUGGUCUCACUGGCCCGUUUCCUCCGCUCGUUCAAGAUGG